CAUCGGGGUGCUGAGGAAUCGGCUGAGAGCAAGCCUUGCGGCUUGAAACCCGUUAACCUGAUCCGGAUAAUGCCGGCGUAGGGAAUAA
rnacentral:ncRNA from 1 species